UGCCACUUUGCUGUUAUUCUACCUGAAGGAGCUCAGUAAAGGGAGGUGCUGGGUAUCUCGACUUGACUUGGAAGCUCCAGCUCCUCAUGACUGUGGUUGCUUCAACUUCACUUUUGGCUCUUCAGAAGAAGACCUGUUGAACACUGCUUGAGGAUACGACUGGAGCAGGGAAAGUUUAGGUGCAUCCUGCUGACACUGGAGAGGAUGGCGCCAGCUCGCGAAUGUGCCUUGGAACCUCA